rnacentral:rRNA from 1 species
AGUGAACGCUGGCGGCAGGCCUAAUACAUGCAAGUCGAACGGCAGCACAGCAGAGCUUGCUCUGUGGGUGGCGAGUGGCGGACGGGUGAGGAAUACAUGGGAAUCUGCCCAGUCGUGGGGGAUAACGUAGGGAAACUUACGCUAAUACCGCAUGCGCCCUUCGGGGGAAAGCCGGGGACCUUCGGGCCUGGCGCGAUUGGAUGAGCCCAUGUCGGAUUAGCUAGUUGGCGGGGUAAUGGCCCACCAAGGCGACGAUCCGUAGCUGGUCUGAGAGGAUGAUCAGCCACACUGGAACUGAGACACGGUCCAGACUCCUACGGGAGGCAGCAGUAGGGAAUAUUGGACAAUGGGCGCAAGCCUGAUCCAGCCAUGCCGCGUGAGUGAAGAAGGCCCUCGGGUUGUAAAGCUCUUUGU